GGAGGGGGCGAGCGUUAUUCGGAAUUAUUGGGCGUAAAGGGCAGGUAGGCGGCUCUGUAUGUCCUCUGUGAAAGCCCUCGGCUCAACCGAGGAAUUGCAGGGGAAACUGCGGAGCUUGAGUCCGGGAGAGGCUAGUGGAAUUCCCAGUGUAGCGGUGAAAUGCGUAGAUAUUGGGAGGAACACCAGUGGCGAAGGCGGCUAGCUGGACCGGUACUGACGCUGAGCUGCGAAAGCCAGGGGAGCAAACGGGGGAUUAGAUACCCCGGUAGUCCUGGCUGUAAACGUUGAGCACUUGGUGUGGCGGGUAUCGACCCCCUGCCGUGCCGAAGCUAACGCAUUAAGUGCUCCGCCUGGGGAGUACGGUCGCAAGGCUG
rnacentral:rRNA from 1 species